rnacentral:lncRNA from 1 species
AGAAGUCAACAAAUGUUGGAACCAGCUCCAUCCCACUGACUAAAUUGGAAACAAGCCAUCUACAGCCUAAACUCCCCUGGGCCAUAAACACCGUUAGCUUCCUCCAGCUGGAAAUAGCUAACCUUGACUGGUGACUUGCAGAAGUGGGAAUGUUACAGCAGGUUAACUAGUCAGGGAUAAGCAAGGAAUGAGAGGGCCUCCCCACCCCCAACCCCCCACCAGGAAUGUUGUUAGGUGACCAUCCUGUGAUGGUCAGGUGGUUGUUAACUGUGUCUCUAAAAUAAUACUUAAUCGCAGCCAGCACCAGGGAAAAGCAAUCUCUCAAUAAACAGAAACACCUAAAAUUGGUGAUCAGCAGCUUCCUCAUAAGAUCUCAGAAACUGGGCAAGUGGGCUCAAGCAUGUGCAUUAAGAGGAAAAAUGGAGGAGUUUAACUGGUAUAUGACCUCCUAAGGACAUCCGACUGGUAAGGGAGAAAGCCUCAAGUGAGCCUGUGUAUAAAUCCAGUAAACACACUGUAACUUGCUCCCCUCCCAAGUGCUAGCACGCCACUGGGCAUGCAGACAGCCCACCCCAAGGUUAGAAUCCGUGGAGAAGGAACACAAGACCCCCAGAAGCAUGCCAACAUAUAAAACCCCAAGUCACAAAGUUAAACCAUGCUUCAAGUCACCUGCUUGGCCCUCUUCUGAGAGUACUUUCUUUCCUUUGCUUCCUGCUUUAAAGUGUUUUAAUAAACUUUCAUUCCUGC